rnacentral:lncRNA from 1 species
CAUUCAAACCAUCUCAAUCUCGCUUUCCUCAUCUGCGUUCUCCUUCGUGGAAGCCACUUCCACCUUGCCACGAAUAACUUCGUUCUUAAGCAUAUCUCUACUAGUAAAGCAUGUACACACAUCCAUUUAAACAUCCUCAUUCCUACUAUUUUCAUCUUCUGAACUUGUGUGUUCUUGAGUAGCCCACAUUCGAUCCCGAAUAAUAAAGAUCUAGCCACUACUUUAUAGAACUUACCCUUAAGCUUUGUA